AAUUAGAUGGACCAACAUAUUUCUCUAAUAAUUCUAAGAAUCAUCCUAGUGAUGACAUGUGGUUACAAAAAUAAGUUGUAAUGUUUCACAAAUAAUAUAUAGGGGAUAGGUUUUCUUUCUCUCCUAAAGCCAUCCACGUCGGAUGACAGCGCAACAAUUCGGUCUUCCUUCAGCCGACACAUGUCCCGUUAAAUGAAACGCAGCGUGUUAUGGCAUCCGUCGGGCUUCGCUUGGGCUUUGUCUCGCGUUUUGUUUUAGCGGCCCAACGACCAGCGACGCGACCACAGGAGAGAAAGAAACCCUAACCCGUCCUGAUUCACGCCUUCGUGUUCUUCGUUUCUCUUCGAUCGGCGGACGGGGCGAUCCAGUUUCUGUAACGUCUGGUAGGUGUUCAUCGGUUGUGGAUGCGAUGCUGCUGCGGUACUGGGAGGCUAGAAAUGUCAAGGGUGGUGGGGAGCUUAUGUGGGUCACAUGCUAAUGUUGGAUAUUAAAUUGAGUGGUUUUCGUUUCUCAGUCUUCACUAUUUUGAUUGUUCCGAGUUAUUAUACCGAUCGUAUCGAUUUCCAGUCAAUUAGCAUUGGUUCUGUAUUUUUUCUCCCCUUUAAUUAGAUGGGCUGUUAUUUAGCAUUGAGAUCGAUUUCCAGUCAAUUAGAAUCGAUUCUGUAUUUUUUUUUUCCUAUUCUAUGAAUAUAUAUAUAUAUAUAUAUAUAUAGAUCUCAGUGGUGAAACCUCAGCCAGGAGAUAGGAUACUGAACGCAUGUGCUGCUCCUGGAGGGAAGACCCUUUUCAUGGCAUCUUGCUAGAAACGCCAAGGCUGAUGCUAUGUACGUGAAUGAAGGACGGCUAAGAAUUCUUGGGGAGACAGCUAAAUCACACCAAGUUGCUGGACUUAUCACAACCAUUCAUUCCGAUCUACGUGUCUUCGCUGAGACAAAAGAGGUACAAUAUGAUAAAUUGUUGCUUGAUGCCCCGUGUUCUGGAAUCGGUGUCCUCUCUAAGAGAGCGGACUUGCACUGGAACUGUAAACUGGAGGGCAUGGAAGAACUUAAGAAUCUAUAGGAUGAGCUUCUUGAUUCUGCCUCCAACCGGGUGGGUUCUUGAUAUACAGUACUUGCUCGAUAGACCCUGAAGAAAAUCAAGGAAGAGUCGAAGCGUUUCUCCUAAGACAUCCUGUAAGAAUCUUUAUAGUCCCUUUGCUUUAGUUUCAAAUGUCGAUAUUUAUAAGUUAUCUCUCUGCUUGCUUUCAUAUGAGUUCUCGGUAGAUCCAGUAGACAGAUUAGUACCAUCAAGUUUUGUAACGUCGCAAGGCGUCUUUUUAUCCAACCCAGUGAAACACUCCUUGGAUGGAGCGUUUGCAGUC